rnacentral:rRNA from 1 species
UAGUCCACGCUGUAAACGAUGAUCACUAGACGUUAGUUUGGUUUAUCCGAAUUAGUGUCGAAGCUAACGCAUUAAGUGAUUCGCCUGGGGACUACGGUCGCAAGACUAAAACUCAAAGGAAUUGACGGGGGUCCGCACAAGCGGUGGAACAUGUGGUUUAAUUCGUCACUACGCGAGGAACCUUACCUAGACUUGACAUGUAUUUGACCCUCACAGAGAUGUGAGCUUCUAGGCUUCGGUUUAGACUUUUACACAGGUGCUGCAUGGCUGUCGUCAGCUCGUGUCGUGAGAUGUUGGGUUAAGUCCUUUAACGAGCGCAACCCUUGCUGUCAGUUGCAAAUGCCUUCGGGUAAUGCACUCUGGCGGGACUGCCUGGGAAACCAGGAGGAAGGUGGGGACGACGUCAAGUCAUCAUGGUCCUUAUGUCUAGGGCUACACACGUGUUACAAUGGCAAGUACAAAGGGCUGCGAGAUCGCGAGGUGGAGCAAAUCCCAUAAAGCUUGUCU